rnacentral:rRNA from 1 species
CCUACGGGUGGCAGCAGUGGGGAAUAUUGGACAAUGGGCGAAAGCCUGAUCCAGCCAUGCCGCGUGUGUGAAGAAGGCCUUCGGGUUGUAAAGCACUUUCAGUGGGGAAGAAAGCCUUGGGGCUAAUACCCUCGAGGAAGGACAUCACCCACAGAAGAAGCACCGGCUAACUCCGUGCCAGCAGCCGCGGUAAUACGGAGGGUGCGAGCGUUAAUCGGAAUUACUGGGCGUAAAGCGCGCGUAGGCGGUCUGAUAAGCCGGCUGUGAAAGCCCCGGGCUCAACCUGGGAACGGCAUCCGGAACUGUCAGGCUAGAGUGCAGGAGAGGAAGGUAGAAUUCCCGGUGUAGCGGUGAAAUGCGUAGAGAUCGGGAGGAAUACCAGUGGCGAAGGCGGUCUUCUGGACUGACACUGACGCUGAGGUGCGAAAGCGUGGGUAGCAAACAGGAUUAGAUACCCUAGUAGUC